GAACGAAAAUGAGCGGCUCCUAAAAAAGAGCGGUUUUGCCCACCUCUAGUGCAAACCCUACUACGAGAUGCUUCUGUGGAAGGUUAGCUGAAGCUAAUCCGUGGAGCUGUUUGCCCUCAAGGCGCUCCUUCAACUACAACUUUGAGACGUUCGGUGACCAGAAGAAGAUCUGCCACUGUUGUGCGGGCAAAUGUUCCGGGCUAAUCGUUAGCCAAGGACGGAGGAUUGGAAUGAGGAGACCAUAACGGUUUUGCGCGACUUGCAGGUGCUGAUUGCAACGUGGGUUACCUGCUCGAGUGCUCAAACGCCAACAGUAACGACGUCGGCCGCAACUACAGCACCUCCGCCACCCCCGCCUGCGGCAAAGUACCAAGCAAAUAUUGCGAUAUUGACCACUCGAUGACGGAUUCGAACUUGGUUGAAUACAGGACGAAAAUGGUAGCGCAAUUUCGGUGGAGGAGAUUUGGACCUGAUAGUGGAUAGUGAUGGCCACGGACAGCACCGCGUGUGUCUCGGAAUGUUUGAGUUACUCCUCUUGCGUCUGCAGGUUCUUUUCGUUUCACCGAAUAUGCCACCUCCUCGGCCACUACCACCGCCAUCAUCCUCAGCGCUUCCCUCGCCGCAACGCGUCAGGAAGCUUUAGAAUUGGUCCAGAAUGUUCAAAAUCAAGUAGAAAGCUUCGUCGUCUCCGAACAUUGUUUCUGGUCCGAUUCACCGAUUGGGCCUCUUUCUUGGGUUCUUCAUCCAGCAGAGCGUCAAAAUUCGCGACCAGCUUCUUACCGUCGAUGUCCAUGUCGUGCAGCACUCGAACGGCACGCGCACCCGUCACAGGACCACUGAGAGGAGAAUCUUUGGCGCAAUCUCUAAAAUCUCUGAAUUAGCUACAAAACAUACUCCAGGCCCGUAGCCAGGGGGUGGGCUGA